AGGGGGUAUACCCCAAAUCGACCCAAAAAGUCGAUUUUCUGAAAUGGUGCGUUUCGGCCUCAGAACACAUUGUUUGGCCUGUAGCACCUAUAAUUCACUAUAUUUCUCGCAUUUUGGCUUGGUAGAGCCCAGAUUUCGGAGCAUAUGGUCGACUAGGGGUCGGAGCCCAGGAAGGCCUUAGGGCCAUUACUGGUGCGGUCGGCUCAGGCCUAUGGCUCGGUUGUAUGGCUCGGCCUGACGGGACCUGGUUUUUCGAUUAUACGGCCUCACAAUUGGUCGUUUCGGGCUGCUGGGGCCCUGAUUUGACGGGUGUCGGGUGGGAUUUAUCCCUCUGCACUCGGGCUGCAUGCCUAUAUCGGCUUGAGGGCUAGCUUCGGCUGGUCAUUGGGUCUUUAUAUGGCCGUGUGGCUUUUCAUAUGUUAAGCCGACUGGCUUGUUCUGAUUGCUGGGCGUGUCACUCGUGGCUCGUCUAUGCUGUGCUUAUACGAUAUGCGUUAUAUUAACUGGUCGCGAGCUUGUACCCCACUGCGCCAAUAUUGCUGCUCCGCACGGGAAAGGGUUAGACCGUGUGGCUGCACAAUUACAUUGAUUCAAGAGGUGUCAAUACUAUGAGUUCGCACGGGAUGGGUACUACCGUGUGGACAAAGGUUGCCAAAUGUUUCGCUUCCACCAUUGGUGGUUGCGCGCGCUCCCAAUCUCUCGGGGUUGGGUUGCUUGAAAGAGUGAAUA
rnacentral:misc_RNA from 1 species